AGCCGGGGGAAGGGAAAACUGACAGAAGCAGCAUGGAGAAAGAAGGAAAUAACUAAAUUUAAUCCAGUUACUGGACAACCUACCUAACCUCUUAAAGAACUACAUAAAAGUAAAAGAUUAGUAGUGGCAGUAGUAAAAGAGAACCAGCUGGGUUUUUCUGGAUCACCCUGAACCAUCCUGGGCUAAGGAAGUGUGCUGAUCCCUGGAGCAUGUUAGGGAGGAAAGUUUGUCUGUCUUCCCUAGGAUGUGCUUGGAGCUGUUCCCUUGGAUCUCAAGAAAGAGAAAGACGUUUCUCUCUGUCUAACCUUAAGCAGCAGCUGGUAUUUGGUGAGGCGUUGGACUGGUUUCAACAGAAAACAAGCUCCCACACUUUCAGGAGCCUCCAGGCAUCCUUCCAGGUCCUGAAGAAAAACCCUGGAUUCCCCCAAAAAAGAUCAAGGACCAAGAAUUAUUAGAAUUUGCAAAUUCAUGCAUCAAAAUGAGCCAUGAAGCUCAGCAGGAGCACAGACUUGAAAGGCAAGAGCAGAGACACUGACACUAAAAAAAACUCCACUUUUUAUGUAGAUGAUUACAUGUUUGGCUCUCAAAGCUAACAACACAUGUAAUGCUAAAGAUACAAGCGUUAGCGAUACAAGAGUUAUUUGCAUUUAGGGUACUGUAAGCUUUCUAAAGGCAGAAAUUAAGUUGGCAAAAAGAGAUUAAAUGGAAUACUCUAGAUGUAGUUCAGCCUCCAUUAGAUUAUAACCAAAAAAAAAAAAUCUGAACUCUUUCAUGAAGGUUUCAUCAAAGGAUUUUUUAUUCAGGAAAUCAACAAAACCAAUUUCCCAGAUUUUAAGGAAAGCAGAUUUAUAAAAGGUGGCAUGUAAAAUUUAUCAAUAGAAG